UUGCAACCAUAUCAUAUUGAAACACGUGAUCUUAUAUGAUCACCAAAGUUAAGCAACAUUGAUCCUGGUCAGUACCUAGAUGGGUGACCACUUAGGAAUACCAGGUACUGUAAG